AACGAACGCUGGCGGCAGGCCUAACACAUGCAAGUCGAACGAUCCUUCGGGAUAGUGGCGGACGGGUGAGUAACACGUAGGAACGUGCCCUUUGGUACGGAACAACUCAGGGAAACUUGGGCUAAUACCGUAUGAGCCCUUCGGGGGAAAGAUUUAUCGCCAUUGGAGCGGCCUGCGUCUGAUUAGCUAGUUGGUGAGGUAAAGGCUCACCAAGGCGACGAUCAGUAGCUGGUCUGAGAGGAUGAUCAGCCACAUUGGGACUGAGACACGGCCCAAACUCCUACGGGAGGCAGCAGUGGGGAAUCUUGCGCAAUGGGCGAAAGCCUGACGCAGCCAUGCCGCGUGAAUGAUGAAGGUCUUAGGAUUGUAAAAUUCUUUCACCGGGGACGAUAAUGACGGUACCCGGAGAAGAAGCCCCGGCUAACUUCGUGCCAGCCGCCGCGGUAAUAC
rnacentral:rRNA from 1 species